CCUACGGGAGGCAGCAGUGGGGAAUAUUGGGCAAUGGGCGCAAGCCUGACCCAGCAACGCCGCGUGAAGGAAGAAGGCGUUCGGGUUGUAAACUUCUUUUAAGAGGGAAGAGCAGAAGACGGUACCUCUUGAAUAAGCCACGGCUAACUACGUGCCAGCAGCCGCGGUAAUACGUAGGUGGCAAGCGUUGUCCGGAUUUACUGGGUGUAAAGGGCGUGCAGCCGGGAAGACAAGUCAGAUGUGAAAUCCCGCGGCUCAACCGCGGAACUGCAUUUGAAACUGUUUGUCUUGAGUAUCGGAGAGGCAGGCGGAAUUCCUAGUGUAGCGGUGAAAUGCGUAGAUAUUAGGAGGAACACCAGUGGCGAAGGCGGCCUGCUGGACGACAACUGACGGUGAGGCGCGAAAGCGUGGGGAGCAAACAGGAUUAGAUACCCUUGUAGUC
rnacentral:rRNA from 1 species